ACCAUCCCAGAUAAGGACGCCAAGCCGGCUGUACAUCUGGAGGGAAGUCAUGUUAGUGAUCCACGUCUCCUGUUUGGGAGACGAUCAAGGGGACAACUACCCAAGAGGGGAGGCAAUGUUUGUGUGGGACAAUCACACUCACAACUCGCUAACAGGGAAGGCAGUGUUUGUGAUACACGCCAUGGUUUGGCUGCCUUGCAACCUUCGGCUCACCAAUCCCUGGAGUCUCAGUCGUCUGCUCUGACUGGACCAAACGAUGCAAAGAGAAAGGGGCCAGGGUAUAAUUCAGCUGAGAGACCCAAGAAAAAGUUGUGUGUCUGGUCAACGGUCGCUGAGCAAUACGUGGCAGAGAGUAGUCAGUCUGAUAACCAAGAGGCAAGACGUGACGCAGCGUACAGACGCUAUAGCACUGACAGGCGUCCAUGCAUGCAUCAACAGUCAUAUGACGCAGAGCGUCACCAGGCUAACAUCAAGUAUCAAACACAGCCUGCAAGGGAAGAGUCGUACGAUGAGAUGCUUGCUCGUCAGAGAGCUAGACAGAAUGAGCGUCAACAUCUCAAACCUGGUGUCCAGUCUCUAGAACACACCAACAGUGUCAGCUCCACCUUGUUCACUGAUUCAGACAACAAGGUCCCCCAGACGUCUGGACCCGCUGUCUCUAUGGACCUGUUUGGUGGGAUGUCUCCAUUUAGUUGUUGGAGUCGGACAGCCCCGGAAGAUCCGAGAUUCUCCUAACUUGAUACCUGAUACCCUCCUUUCAAGCAGUUUCUUGGACCUUAAACGGUCAAAGAACUGAAUCACUGCGUCUUUCAGGGCUUUUUUUUUGUUGCCCACCAUUGCCAACCAAUCUGUAAUAUUGACUUUGACUGAGGUAAACUUUACAUGUUGUCUGUGACAACGUUCUUAUCAUUUUUUUUGGACACCGUGUGUCCAGAUGAAGAAACCGGUCAUCUUGAUUCAUAUGGAAUUUCAAUCUGAUUUGCUCAUUUCAACCUAUCUAUGAUAUCGUCUGUGAUGGUGAAUAACUUUUUAUGUUGUCUGUGACAACGUUUUUCAUGAUAAUAUUGGACACUGUGUGUCCGGGUUCAGUUAUUUAAAAUAAAAAUUCAUAAACAC
rnacentral:sRNA from 1 species